GACGAACGCUGGCGGCGUGCUUAACACAUGCAAGUCGAACGGGAUCCGGGCUUUCGGGUUUGGUGAGAGUGGCGAACGGGUGAGUAACACGUGAGUAACCUGCCCCCUUCUUUGGGAUAACGUCGGGAAAUCGGCGCUAAUACUGGAUAUUCUUGCUGCAUCGCAUGGUGUGGUUUGGAAAGGGUUUCUGGUGGGGGAUGGGCUCGCGGCCUAUCAGCUUGUUGGUGGGGUGAUGGCCUACCAAGGCUUUGACGGGUAGCCGGCCUGAGAGGGUGUCCGGCCACACUGGGACUGAGACACGGCCCAGACUCCUACGGGAGGCAGCAGUGGGGAAUAUUGGACAAUGGGCGCAAGCCUGAUGCAGCGACGCCGCGUGAGGGAUGACGGCCUUCGGGUUGUAAACCUCUUUCAGUAUGGAACAGGGAUCCUUCUUUUGGGGGGUUUGAGGGUACGUGCAGAAGAAGCGCCGGCUAACUACGUG
rnacentral:rRNA from 1 species